GUGGCUUUGGUGCUGUUUGGGCAAAUGUACGCUAGACUUAGGAUCUAGUGCCGCAAGGUGUGAGAGUUCGAGUCUCUCCGCCUGUACAA
rnacentral:tRNA from 1 species